rnacentral:rRNA from 1 species
GACGAGCGCUGGCGGCGUGCCUAAUACAUGCAAGUAGAACGCUGAAGGAGGAGCUUGCUUCUCUGGAUGAGUUGCGAACGGGUGAGUAACGCGUAGGUAACCUGCCUGGUAGCGGGGGAUAACUAUUGGAAACGAUAGCUAAUACCGCAUAAGAGUAGAUGUUGCAUGACAUUUGCUUAAAAGGUGCAAUUGCAUCACUACCAGAUGGACCUGCGUUGUAUUAGCUAGUUGGUGGGGUAACGGCUUACCAAGGCGACGAUACAUAGCCGACCUGAGAGGGUGAUCGGCCACACUGGGACUGAGACACGGCCCAGACUCCUACGGGAGGCAGCAGUAGGGAAUCUUCGGCAAUGGACGGAAGUCUGACCGAGCAACGCCGCGUGAGUGAAGAAGGUUUUCGGAUCGUAAAGCUCUGUUGUAAGAGAAGAACGAGUGUGAGAGUGGAAAGUUCACACUGUGACGGUAUCUUACCAGAAAGGGACGGCUAACUACGUG